GAGGGUAUAGCUCAACGGUAGGGCACGUGGUUGGCAUGCAUGAGGUCCUGGGUUCAAUCCCCAGUACCUCCA
rnacentral:tRNA from 1 species